CACCGCGCGGCUCUUGGCUGGGACUACGGGUCUGGUGCUCACUGUGGCUGGUCUUUGCUCCUUGUGGCUGACUCGAGCCUUAAACAGCCCGCCGACGGGGCAGCAGGCGCCGGGUGAUACCCACCUGCCCCUCGGGGAAGGGCAUGAGAGCGCGCAGAUUUGAUGGGUCUCUUGCCACGGCGGGAGCUCCCAGGAUCUGGACUCAAUCUGACCUGAGCCGCCACGAAGUCGCUGCCCAGUGACGGACAGUUACCGUGGAGUUUCUGUUCACCAGGUGACCUUGAGCGCGGGGCGAAGCCUAGCUUGGUUACAACUCCUGCUGCAGAUUUAUGUUUGCCGAGGAAGCACCAUGGCGUGUGCUGCCGUGCUGACGCCCGGACGGUGGCGAGGCUCUGUCGGUGCCAUCAGCGCUCUGGCUGCACCGUUGAGACUGCCAGCCAGUGCCCUGCGCCACCUCACUCUGACCAGCUUAAUGAAAUCUAAAAGGAAAAUGGAUCACCUGGAGAGAACUGCAAGUGUCGUGCGCCGGGAGGUGGUGUCGCCGGCGAGGGUGUGUGGAGCCGCUGCCGCGUCGCCCUCGGUGAGGAGCCUCCGCCUGCUUGUUGCCGAUCGAGAGUUCUCCUUUAAAGCCGGCCAGUGGGUUGAUUUCUUUAUCCCGGGUGUCCCUGUGGUUGGUGGGUUUUCAAUAUGCUCCAGUCCCAGACUGCUUGAACAAGAGAGGGUGAUAGAGCUGGCAGUGAAAUACGCAAACCACGCCCCUGCGCUCUGGGUUCACAAUCAGUGUACACUUGAUUCUGAAGUGGCGGUGAGAGUGGGUGGAGAGUUCUUCUUUGACCCUCAGCCCACAGACGCCUCCAGGAACCUCGUGUUGAUUGCAGGAGGGGUCGGAAUUAACCCCCUGCUUUCCAUCCUGCGGCACGCAGCAGAUCUGCACCGAGAGCGUGAAGACAAAGGAAGUGGGUAUGAGAUAGGAACAGUGAAACUGUUCUACAGUGCAAAAAGCACCAGUGAACUCCUGUUCAAGAAAAAUAUCCUCAAUUUGGUAAAUGAAUUUCCUGGGAAGAUUGCGUGCAGUUUGCAUGUUACAAAACAGACUACGCAAAUCGGUGCAGAACUCGAGCCCUACAUCACGGAAGGAAGAAUAACGGAGGAGGAGCUAAGAGACCAUAUUUCCAGAGAGACUUUGUUCUACAUUUGCGGCCCACCUCCGAUGACGGACUUCUUCUCCAGGCACCUGGAGGACAGCCACGUUCCCAGAGAACACAUUCGCUUCGAGAAGUGGUGGUAGGGCGCGUCCAGGCCUGCACGACAAGGAGGUGAGCCGCACUCGGGAUAGCUGGAGCCAUUCCGUCGUGUGUGGCGGGCUGCAUUUCCCUCUCCGUGAGCUGAUUGUUACGGCUGCAAGCUAUGAGAGCUGCUGGGGAGUGACAGAAGAGCCGGCGGCAGGCUUCCUGCGGAGACUCCGUGGAUCGGACGGUUUUCCGCCAUGCUGACUGUCUCAUUACUAACCGUUUCUCUCGUGAUGGAUCGUGAAUUGAUUGGCAUAGACCUUCUUUUGCAAGGGAACAAGCUGUGAUUCCACUCCUAAAGGAGAGUCCGAUGGCUAGUGGUUCUCCAGACUGGCCGUCCCUUGGAAUGUCCCUGUGGCUUUGAGACCCCGGCGCUUAUGUACGUAGUGGAGCUGGAUCUAGCGACUAAGGCUCCAGCUAAGAUGCCCGCAGCCCACAUUGAAGAGCCUGGGCUCUGGCGCCGGACUCCAGCUUCCUGCUAAUGCACACCCUGGGAGGCAGCACAUGAUGGCUUGAAUCAUUUUGGUUCCUGCUGUUCACAUGGCCAAGACCUGGGCUGAAUUCCUGGCUCCCGGCCACUGCAGGCAUCAGGGAGUGAGCAGCAGAAGGGCGCUCUGCCCUCCCUUCCCUACCCCCACACCUCUCAAACAAGUCCUGACGCCUGGUCACUCCUCAUUCCUUCACAGGCUCUGGGGGUGGGACCUUGGGCAUUAGAAUUUUUUUGAAGCUUCCCUCAGUGAUUCCAAGGGGCAGCUAAUUUGAGAACCUCCACCAUGGCCUGAUAUUUUGCUAGAAUCUCCAGGGGUGCAGAGAAGCAAGGAAGAAAAAAAAAACAAAAACAAAAAACAAGACCUUCAGGAAUGUUAGACUGAGACUAUGGCCAGAUUCCCU